rnacentral:rRNA from 1 species
GACGAACGCUGGCGGCGUGCUUAACACAUGCAAGUCGAACGGAAAGGCCCUGCUUUUGUGGGGUGCUCGAGUGGCGAACGGGUGAGUAACACGUGAGUAACCUGCUCUUGACUUUGGGAUAACUUCAGGAAACUGGGGCUAAUACCGGAUAGGAGCUCCUGCUGCAUGGUGGGGGUUGGAAAGUUUCGGCGGUUGGGGAUGGACUCGCGGCUUAUCAGCUUGUUGGUGGGGUAGUGGCUUACCAAGGCUUUGACGGGUAGCCGGCCUGAGAGGGUGACCGGCCACAUUGGGACUGAGAUACGGCCCAGACUCCUACGGGAGGCAGCAGUGGGGAGUAUUGCACAAUGGGCGGAAGCCUGAUGCAGCAACGCCGCGUGCGGGAUGACGGCCUUCGGGUUGUAAACCGCUUUCGCCUGUGACGAAGCGUGAGUGACGGUAAUGGGUAAAGAAGCACCGGCUAACUACGUG